GCCCUUAUAGAUCAGUGGUAGAUCGUUGCACUUGUAUCCACGAAAAUGGAAAAAGUCAUGCAAAGGUCCGUCGUUCAAUCCGGCGUGGGGGCA
rnacentral:tRNA from 1 species